UCCCUGCCCAUCCUGCCUUCAGGCCCUCUCUGCCCAGGCCUCUUCGACAUCCGCGGCUCCCCCACCGGUGGGGCCGGGGGCUCCCGCGGACCCCUUCCGCCCCUGUCUUCGUGCCGCCGCACGGGGAUGUCCAGGGGGCCUGGGAGGAGCCUUGUCGGGGGCCUCUCCGCUCCCUGGCCGCCCACCCGCCUGCUGCCGCUGCCCCCGGACAAACCGUUUGGCGUAAACCUCUGGGCUUCUGGACCAAGUUCGAUGUGGCCGACUGGCUGGAGGUGGCUGGGCCUGGCGAGCACCGGGCCCGCUUCCUGGACCACAGAGAUCGAGCGGCUCCCACCUGCCCGCCUUGACCAAGGAGGACUAUGUGGACCUGGGGGUCACCAGGGUGGGCCACCGCAUGAACAUCGACCGGGCUCUCAAGUUUUUCCUGGAGAGGUGAUGGCUGGCCUGGACGGACCGGCCGUCCACAGAACCCUGCCGCCAGCGCCUCUCACCUCCCGUUCUCGCCGGGCAGGGACUCUGCCGGAACUGCGCCCUGCCCUGUCUCCCGAGGCCUGAGGUCACCAGGUGGCCCCAUCCGGGCCGGACACUUGCACCUCACAGGAGGGGGGCGGCUGACACAGGACUUCGAAAGUGACGUGUGGGGAGCGGCGGGGAGGGACGGAGGAAUCGCCGGGACUGAGGAGGAGGAAGGGUCGAUCCUGGGGGAGGGGACAGACAGAGCCAUAGAGGGCCAGCCCUGAGCCUGACCGGAUGGGGGCGACCCCAGGCCGCAGGGGAGGGGUGCCCUCACAUUCCACCACCUGCGCCCCUCUAGCAGCCUUCCCGCCUCCCCAGCACACAGCUGCCCUCCCCCGCCUCUGCUCGCUCGGCUCCGUUGCACGCCUGCUCGCCCUCUCCUCCCCUCAGCUGCAGCUUUGCACAAAUCUGCCCUCACUGUCUCCGCACACUCCGCCUUCCCGCCCGCCCAGCUCGGCUUUCCUUGCACAUGUUUCUUUCCUCAUGCCUCCACUCCUCCGCACACCCCUUCUCCUGGGGCCCCUCAUGCAGUCUCCAGACCGCCCUCCGCUCACGCCGGUCCCGUGAUGCAGACACACGCGGGACCCAGCUUGCGGGAACCCCCAGCCCCCGCCGCGGCCUGGACCUGCGCAUUCCCUCCCCCAGGGACCCUGUCUUUGCUCAGCUCUCGUGCGCUCGCUGUCGUCUGCUCCCCGAGAUACGCGCACCUCCAUCCUCCUACACGGAGGUGCUUUCCCCCUCUGAUCAUGAACCCCACAUUCUCGCUCUGCUCACAGUGACCCCUGCCCUCUUGCACUGUCACUUUGGCCACUCGCCCCUGCGGAACUGCUGCUCACAGCCGCGCGGCCCAUCUCCGCCCUCUCCCACACGCACCUUCCCCAUGCGCUCCCUGACGGAUCCCGGGGCCCUCUUUCCUUUUGUAACGCACCCAGACAUUGCUGCACACUCCCGCUUUCUGCUAACUCCUCGGCGACUUCCCCACCUGCCCCGAGGCCCCACCCCUCCUGGGCACGCUCGCCCUUCCCACGUGCACUGGGGCUGCGCUGCCGUCUGCCCCGAUGCCCGCCUCUUCCACCUAGCUCCCAGCUCACCAGGCUUCUUCUCUCCUCCGCUCACCUGCCACGUCCUCCCCGGGCCAUCUUCCCACCCAUUUUGCACGAGGAGCCCCUUCUGGCCUUUCCUCCCCUCCCAGACCCCCUCCCUCCAGCAUGGCCGCUCCGUCCCGCACGCUGCCCCUACCCCUUAUUCCUGGGGCUUGGGAAUUUUAAAGCCACCUCUCCCCCCUUGGAAGCCCCUUCCCCUGCUGCGGGUAAAGGGGGAGGGCACUGCCCUCAGGUUCCCCCCAUGUUCAGCUGCCAAAGAAGGGCGCUCCCCUCCUUCCCCACGCCCAUCCCCCUCUGCUGCCCCUACCCCCACGGUGGGGAGGCGCUCCGUCCACGAGGGGAGGGGCAGCCCUCCCCUCACCAUGUCAGGGAUCUGCGGGGAACCUUGUGGGAGGGUCGCGGGAGGGGGAGGGGGUGGCAGGACAGAAGCAGAGGUCGUGCGCUGGGCCCCUACCGCCCCCCUCCCCCUCCCCCUGGUCGGAUGCCCCCAGUCCGCAGGGGGCCUGCGCCGGCGCCUGUCUAUCAAGGGCUUGUUCAUUCUGGAUGGGGUGCCGCGGGGUUGGGAGGGUGUUGGGG
rnacentral:lncRNA from 1 species